UCCCCGCACGACAGUGCUACCGCGACCGAACCAGGCAAGGGCGAUUCACCCGAUCCCUAACCCCCUCGAUCGAAUCUGUGGCGCCGAGAGAAUCCCCUCGAUCCCCUCGUCCGAUUCCCGUAAUUGCCGCUGGUGUUCGCCCUCGAAGUCAACCGCACGGAUCUCGGAAAGCUCCGCCGCCUGAGCUCCCUGUUCCAGCCAAAUCCGGCGACAACCCUCUGGUUCGAGCUCCUCAGCCAACGAUCUCGCCGGAGCCCCAACUUCACUACAUCGCCAACAGAGGACGCCCCGUUUCGCCCUGCCUCAACCCGACGUUCCCGAUGACCGCCAGGACCACCUCCACACCACCUCAUCUUCGCCGGAGAGCCACCGGAGGCCUACGCCCGUAGCUGCCGCCGUUUUCCCCUGCUUCCGGUGAGCACACGCGCGCAAAUCCACUUCGGCCAACCCUAGCGUGACACGUGGCCACAUCUAAAGUAGCCGCGGCAGCAGCUCAAUUCGCUGCCAUGGCAGCAAUUUUAGCAUGUCAAAAACGCUGCCACGACAGAGUUUUUCAAAUAUUUCAAACCGAACUUCGUUCUACUAUAUCUUGAAAUCUGUAUAUCCAAACUCAAUGAAACUUUUCCUAUGUGUUCAUAUUGAUCUUACCUAUCCAAUGGAAUCAAUAGUUUCAACUUCUAAACUCUUCAAAUUGAUCAAUUCAAAUUUGUUUUCAAAUCAUGUGUUGAACAUAUCUUGAAAACUGUAUACCAUAUCCAGUUGAUUCCUUUUUCCUAUGAACAUUUGUAUCAAAUACUUGCUGAUCACAUCCUGUAUACUCAUUAUUCAAAUAAUUCUUGAACUGUUUUGAAUUCAAAUUCAAUUCUAACUUCGUUCCACUAUAAUUAGCAUUGUAGUGUUCCCCUAGUCCAUCAAUUCUUUUACAAAUGAAUUCUUAUGUCAUAUUCAAUAUGUCAUACAACAUUUAUGUUGUUCUCCAAUCACUUCUGAACCUAUUCUGUUAUAUCUCCACUAUACUCUUGUUUAUGGCAUAACUAUUCUUCUAUUUAACUCUUGUGAGUUGAUCCUUCCACCUUUCACUGUAUAGCACCACAGAGACCCAUAUUAUAAUAUUAAGCCCAGCUAUAUUGAUGUUGUUCAACCUUGCCAUAUUUGUUUUGCUGUUCUUUGGUUCGUAUGUAUGGCAUGGUUGUUUAUUUGGAUUCUUUCUUGUGCGAUAGCUUGCUCGGAGCGUGACCAGUAGAACUGUCAGGAAUUAUGAGUGCGACGAUCUUCAUCAAACUUACAUGCAGUUACACCUUGA